AGGUGUUAUAACCUCUGCUAAUUAAAUAUUAUUUUUUCACUCUUUUCUUUUUAAAAUAAAAAAAAUCAUAUUUUUUCCCAGCAAAAAAAAAAAAUUCCCUCUAAAAAAUUUACAAAAUCCCAAUAUGUACUGGUUGUCCCCAACCUUCAAUCCCUAAUUCCACCCCUCACUUCCGCUCUCAACUCAGAUUACAGCUGCAAUUCCACAAUCUGUAUGCACGGUUGUUUCCAGGGGAAAUCAGUGUUACUUAAUCACCUCCAGUGUCACUGACGUUUUUCCUCAAGUCUGAACUUUGCUGGCGGUGCAUGUAUGAUUUUAAGGCCACAGGACUACCUGAUACAGCAGAGUUCUAUUGAAAAUCAAGGGCAAGAGAUGCUGAAUUAAAUGCCAUCCAGUCACCUUUACUGGAUAUUGGUAUAGAGAGGGCUACUGGAAUUGUUUGGGACAUAACUGGUGGGACUGAUCUGACCUUGUUUGAGGUGGCUACCUACCCUUUGGCACUUAAAUAUUUCUUUCCAUUGUGCCCAUAA